AUUUUUUUACGACUGGCUUCAUGUUUUCCUUUUGGGGUUUGGUUUGGUUUGGUUUUUGAGACAGGGUCUGGCUCUUGAGCCCAGGCAUGGAACUCACUUGGUAGCCUAGGUUGUCCUCGAACUAUUAGGAAUUCCUGCUUCAGCCUUCCAAGUGCUGGAAUUGUAGCUCCAUCAUGAUACGAACAAGCAACUCCUUCAGCUCCGUCUGAGUUACUUCCGCUGCCAUGCCUUCCCUCCCAGGAUGCACAGGAGCCUCUCAAGGAGCCGGAACGAGCCUCUCUUGGGUUGUCACAGCGUUUAGAAAAGGAAUUGAGACAACCUGGUGGUACAAACACUGAGGCUGGCAUUCAGUCCCACCCCAAUCGCAGGCUGCUGCCCACUCCUAGCUAUAACAACAUUCACCGCCCACCUGGACAUCACCUCUUCUUUGAGCCCAUCCCCACCACACCGGGACCAGAGCUCUGUCUCCCGCUCUGCAGCCAGAGCUCAGCCACUGCUGAUGGGAACUUCCGAAGUGGUCUUCACGAGGGCUUCUGCGGAUUUGGGGCCUUCCCAGAGUCCUGGAGCCUGUGAACACUCACGGGACGCUGCUUCCCCUGGCCUGAGGAACGAGAAGGUUCUGCAGGAACUGAGUCCGAAGGGAGCAGGCUGUCCGGACAUCACGCUGGGGGAAGAGGAUGGGGC